AUGCAAGAUCCCUGGGGAUGAGAAGCGAA
rnacentral:piRNA from 1 species